AGUGAACGCUGGCGGUAGGCCUAACACAUGCAAGUCGAACGGCAGCACAGUAAGAGCUUGCUCUUACGGGUGGCGAGUGGCGGACGGGUGAGGAAUACAUCGGAAUCUACUUUUUCGUGGGGGAUAACGUAGGGAAACUUACGCUAAUACCGCAUACGACCUACGGGUGAAAGCAGGGGAUCUUCGGAACUUGCGCGAUUGAAUGAGCCGAUGUCGGAUUAGCUAGUUGGCGGGGUAAAGGCCCACCAAGGCGACGAUCCGUAGCUGGUCUGAGAGGAUGAUCAGCCACACUGGAACUGGGACACGGUCCAGACUCCUACGGGAGGCAGCAGUGGGGAAUAUUGGACAAUGGGCGCAAGCCUGAUCCAGCCAUACCGCGUGGGUGAAGAAGGCCUUCGGGUUGUAAAGCCCUUUUGUUGGGAAAGAAAAGCAGCAGGUUAAUACCCCGCUGUUCUGACGGUACCCAAAGAAUAAGCACCGGCUAACUUCGUG
rnacentral:rRNA from 1 species